rnacentral:rRNA from 1 species
CUCCUACGGGAGGCAGCAGUGGGGGAAUUUUGGACAAUGGGGCGAAAGCCUGAUCCAGCAAUGCCGCGUGUGUGAAGAAGGCCUUCGGGUUGUAAAGCACUUUUGUCCGGAAAGAAAUCCUUGGCUCUAAUACAGUCGGGGGAUGACGGUACCGGAAGAAUAAGCACCGGCUAACUACGUGCCAGCAGCCGCGGUAAUACGUAGGGUGCAAGCGUUAAUCGGAAUUACUGGGCGUAAAGCGUGCGCAGGCGGUUUGCUAAGACCGAUGUGAAAUCCCCGGGCUCAACCUGGGAACUGCAUUGGUGACUGGCAGGCUAGAGUAUGGCAGAGGGGGGUAGAAUUCCACGUGUAGCAGUGAAAUGCGUAGAGAUGUGGAGGAAUACCGAUGGCGAAGGCAGCCCCCUGGGCCAAUACUGACGCUCAUGCACGGAAGCGUGGGGAGCAAACAGGAUUAGAUACCCUGGUAGUCCACGCCCUAAACGAUGUCAACUAGUUGUUGGGGAUUCAUUUCCUUAGUAACGUAGCUAACGCGUGAAGUUGACCGCCUGGGGAGUACGGUCGCAAGAUUAAAACUCAAAGGAAUUGACGGGGACCCGCACAAGCGGUGGAUGAUGUGGAUUAAUUCGAUGCAACGCGAAAAACCUUACCUACCCUUGACAUGGUCGGAAUCCUGAAGAGAUUCGGGAGUGCUCGAAAGAGAACCGGCGCACAGGUGCUGCAUGGCUGUCGUCAGCUCGUGUCGUGAGAUGUUGGGUUAAGUCCCGCAACGAGCGCAACCCUUGUCCUUAGUUGCUACGCAAGAGCACUCUAAGGAGACUGCCGGUGACAAACCGGAGGAAGGUGGGGAUGACGUCAAGUCCUCAUGGCCCUUAUGGGUAGGGCUUCACACGUCAUACAAUGGUCGGAACAGAGGGUUGCCAACCCGCGAGGGGGAGCUAAUCCCAGAAAACCGAUCGUAGUCCGGAUUGCACUCUGCAACUCGAGUGCCAUGAAGCGUGGAAUCGCUAGUAAUCNNGCGGAUCAGCCAUGCCGCGGUGAAUACGUUCCCNNGGGUCUUGCACACACCGCCCGU